AGCCCUGAGGAAGCAAACUGUAAGCAGGAGAAAAAAAAAAAAAAAGAGAAACGAAAACACAAUGGAGUUGCAAUAGGAGAUAGGUUGCAUGGAGAGGUUUCUACUGGUCAGGUUGGAUAGUCAGUGCAGUCAUCAUUUUAUGCGUUCUAUAACAAGCUACAACAAAUCAGGGAUUGAGCAAUCUCUAUCUCUCUGCCUUUGUCCUUGUCUCUCCUUCCAUUUGUUUGUAUCUUUUUUCACACAUCCCUCCCUCCAUAUUAUUUGUCCAAAUUAAUAACUACUGUCUCUUAUUUCUCUCAAGCGAUCUCUGGCUGUGUGUGACUUUGGUACUAGUGGCUCCUGAACUGGAAGAACCUAGAUAUAUUCCAGCUUUAAGUGUGACAUGAGCUUACAGACAAGAAUGAGUCAACCUGUGGAACUUUCACUUCCUCAACCAGUAUACCCCUCGCCUUGAGCCAAUGAUCUGUAAGUGCUUCCCACCAAUGCUUUGUACUGAUGUUGGGCAUCACCUACCUGCCAUGCCUCCAGCUGCUGCGAGAGGUUCAGUUUCUGUUGAAUAGCAUCCAGCAGCUGACUGUUCAGAGACAUCAUGUCAAUCUUGCACUUGGCUAGUUCCAUUUCCACUGCAUUCUUCCUGGGGGGGGGAGGAGAAGAGAGACAUGGACAAUCUCAGAGCACAAUUCAAUUUUAUCUAAAUUCCUGCAGGUCUUCAGAACCACCUCACCAGUGUUCACUGAUCUCCAUUCAGCACAUUCAACAAAAUCAGAAUAUGGAACUUGGCAUCAGAUCUGCCAAAGGACUCUGAAUAUUCAGUGGGUGACUAGCUCCAGCUUCUACUGGGACAAGGAGAUGGAUCCUGUAGAAGGGACCAGUUCAGUAAGCCACCAGCUCUUCUGCCUCCAUGCUCUGCUCAAUCUCAGAUAGCAGGGAUGUGCUGGUUGUGUUGAAACUUUGGAGACUUCUCUCCUCGCUAAGCUCUUCUACCUUUCCCUGGAGCUGCCGACAGGACAGCCGCACCUCCUGGAGCUCCAGCUGACUUUGAUGCAGCUUCCAAAGGAAAUCAAAGGAAAAAACAAAACUAGGACCAGCACUCGGUCCUGCAGUUCCUCCACGGUUCCCUGAAGCAGAUCGUUUUCCUCCAUCAUGGCACUAAGGCGACACUCCAGCUCCCGCUUCCUAUCGAUGCAGCAUGUAUCUACUACAACAAAAACAUAGUGAUAUGAAAGAUAUCCUUAAGAAGCAGAUGGAAUGUUCUCAGCAUCUUGAUCAAUUAUCAGAUUAACCCUAAACAGGGUCAAUGAAUUGCAGGUUUUGCAUAUGAUUCAUUAACCUUGUAAAGAUGCUUUGGAAUACUUCAACAUGAAACACUGUAUACAUAUAAGACAACCAUUCUCCUCAGAUGAAGGAUGUUAUAAAGGUCUUUUUCUGUACCCACACCCAAGUUAUGCAAGCACUCAGAACUCCAGGACCAACAGUGUUUCAGGAGAUAUGCAUAGAACUUGAUGUUGAAGAGCCUAGUCUAGCUGUAGGAUGAUGAAAUAUACAGACAAAUAACCUGAAGACAAGUUGUCUUGCUGAAAGACCUGAUGGAUGAAGUGUUCUGCUUUAGCAGAUAGCUAUAAUUGAAGUGAGGUUGUGGUGGACUCAAUUUUACAGUUCAAGGAAGGAGGAUUGUGAACUUUACAGCAGGCACACAAGUGGAGUAUAAACUGACACAAGAAGAUUUGAGAAAAACUACAGCAGAUGCAGAUCUGAUAGCAUGUGCUCCAGUCCCUGGUGAAGACAGCUUCCUGGCACAGCUGGCAAAAUCAGAUUGAGGAAUAUGAUUUAUAUUCCUCAAGCUCCACUUACUUGGACUCUUUGUCCUGAGGUGGGGACCUGAAGUGGCUCAGUCUGUUGCUCUUUAGGGCAUGCUGCAAGGUUCCUCAUUCUGUGGUGACUUUUGGGGAGUAGGAUGUUGCUGAAGGGGCAUGGGGUAUUUAUAGGGAGUAUGGGGCAUUUUUCUUAUUUAUUCCUUUGCUGCAAGGUUUAACCAUUUGCUGUUGUAGUAGAUAGAGGAGAAUACUGCUAUUAUCUUUGUUUAGUUAUGCUUUUAAAUAAUUGUCAAGGCUGCCUGGAGCUUAGGAUAGGCGCCUCGUGUGUCUGUUUCUACAAAUCUAACUAAAUUAAAAGAAAUAUUUUAAGAGGACAACAACUGAAAUGAGCGCUAAAUAAAACAGACAAAGUAAUUGUGUGGCUGUGUCAGCUCCUCUUAACUGGUAGCAGGGAGAUUUCAUGCUCACAUACAGUUAGAAUCCAAUUUAUUUUUGGAAAGUUUUUUUUGUAAUUCUGGCAAUUUGUAUUUCCUUUGUCUCCUUUUCCAUAGAAGUUCAUUUAUCGUUACUAUUUUUAUUUAAAUGGAGAAACAAGGCUAACCUCAUAGGGGAAAGCAUGCAGAUUAUUCCACACUUUAAGAGCACACUGAUCUAGUACACUAAUUCUUAAGAAACUACAAUAGGCUUUUCAACUGGGAUCUGACAUAGCAAUGCUGCGUUUAAAUUAAUAUUUUUCUUUUCCUCUCAUACUGUAUAUCUCCUGUUAGUGAAAGCAAGAUUAACGUGAUCAAUGUCAGAAGAGAAAACUUCAUUCUGCAUUCCAGGCUGGUAUGUGGCUGAUAUUUCUCUUGUACAUGCAUGAGUUUUUGGUAGGAAGAAUAGAUGUAUCAUAGCACUGCAUGCUCAAAUAUUGGGCUGAAUGCAUCAAAGAUGGUGCAGCUUACACUUUCUUCCAGCCCUUCAGCAUGCUGGUUACAACAAUAUAGGCCCUAAGCUACACUAACAAUUCUAAAAGCACCAGUGCGUAGUUGUUUGACACAGUUAGGUGCAUCCAUGUUCUAGCACAGUUGAUUUUUGGAGUGUGACCGGGACAACAGCCUUAUAGAACCAUGUUAGGAAAUAGAAUUACAGCUCCCUUACACUCAGACUCAGCCGCUUUUAUCCCUACUCACAUGUCCCACUUAUCAAUAUGCUGCUUACAUGUCAGCCCCCUUGUUCUGGCCCACUGACUGGACUGUUUUUCUGGCCUGGGGCAAACCUGGAGUCCUCUCCCUCACUAGCUCAGAAAUUUGCUCUUGGGGGAGAUUUAAAUGUGCAUAGGCUUCCCUUACCAUGGCCAUCCAGGCAUAUUUGUGUAAUAUGUGGCUAUGUAUAACCUUGCUACCUAAGGUUAGGCUUAUUUUUAACAAACCAUAUUACUCCAUAGAAAAGUGGAGUAAAUAAUAGGUCUCAGUGUAUAGACUCUCUGUUGUACUUCUUCAUGGGUUCAAUCUGUAUUUUCAAAUCUUUGUUUGGUUUCAGUUGCUUUAACUCUUUUCUAUGUUCCCUCAUACAUUUUGGUUUCUCCUCUCUGUUCCCUCCUUUUUUUUUUUUUUUGCCUUCCUCCCUGUUUAGUUCUUUUCUAUCCCUAUCCCCUCAGAUAAUCCUCUCUCUGAUCUCCUAGUUUGUCACAGGAACUUCAGGUGCCAUCAUUCCAUCUGUUUAAUUUGAAAGGAACAGCACCAACACCAUUUUUUUGGGCCCAGUACAAUCAAGCUGCAUUCAGUGCAGGACCUGAGGUGGAGGUAGAAAGGUAGCUUUAUGUCCCUUUUGCAUUUCCUGGGAAAGCCAGGCCUGGUUUGGCCCCUAGGGAAAGUUUCCGAGCUGUUUUAGCUUAUAUUGCCAUUAAUGGCAGAGGAUUGCUUUCGCAUAGCAUGUUCCAGUCACACCCCCUAUGUUAUGGGCAUGGUAGUGGCAGACAGACAAUUUAACACUCAAGGAUUCCCCCAGUCUGGGUAAGACCCUGACCAUGGUAGCUUUCCAGUCCUUUUGUGCCACCCGACCAGUGGAAAAUGUCUGCACCGGGAUCAUGUAUGGCCUAUUUUGUUUAUCUAGGUUUUUACAUGACACUCAUCAUCUUGGGAGCUGAGGAGCAAGAGAAGGGAAAGGAAUAUUAGCCAUACUGUCGUUCUUUAUAGGAAGAUAGAUACUGACUAGAUGGACCCUGGAUCUGAUUUGGUAUGGGAAUUCCUAUCUCCAACAUUGGCCAGUACCAUAUACUUGAAAGGAAGGUGCAGAAAUCCUGCAAUAGGCAAUUAUGGUAUUACUUGCUGUGAUGGGGUGCCUACUGCACACAGGUGGUGAAAGAGUUAAUAUGGGCUGGAGAGGCUAAUUAACUCACUUGGUUGCACCUGGAGGGUGGGCCAGACCUAAUUAAUGAUGAAACAGAGCUGCUGAGAAGGUGGGUGGUUACCAUAAAGAGAGGAAAUGUGGCAUAGAUAGGGGUAGUAGGGAGAAACUUUAUAGUCAGUCUCCUGGUAGGGAACAGGAAAGCUCUUGCAGAGUGAGGAGACAGGUGUGGUAGGUAGAAGUCCAGGGAGGUGGCAGCAAGGAGUCUGCUGGAGUGAACCUGGACUACCUGUGCUAGGGUCCCUGAGCUGGAAUCUAGUGUUACAUCCUUGGACUAAACGUGACCUGGCUGGAGAGCUGAGUCAUGAGAGGAAGCUGACCAAUGCAGGACCAGAGUGAGUGUUGGCUGAGGGUGCCAAACAGGAAAGAGUUGAUAUGCUCAGCUGUGAGGGGUAUAUAAGCAGUGAGUUCCUCCUUCUAUACUUGCUCACAGAGACAAUUUCUAAGCUGGAUCAGUUAGAGGCUGGUUUAUGCCCUUAGACGUGAGGGCUUACAUCCUUUCCUAAGUACUGAAGAGAAAAAAAAUAUUUCUUAUUGUAACUUUGGACAUUUGAAUCAU